CUCGGCCUUAGCCUUGGUCCCCUGGGCCUUGGGCACACCACCUAGAUCAUAACACCAGACUCGUGCGGGUGGUGGUAUGUGACUUCAUGGAAGAAGAAAGAUGGCUUCCGCCUGAUAUUUUCUAGUAUAUCUUCCAUCGUGCACGGUUGGAAGUCCAGGUUUAUCUUCAUCUCACAUACAUCAGGUGAAGAUUGAAAUUUUUUCACCUGGGACGAACCCCAGGAGGCCGCGCUAAAGGAACCUUCGAUGAACGAGAGCCUGGAGCAGGAGAUGGCAGCUCUACGGAGCUUCAAGAUUUCAGAGUUGAAAGAGUUUCUGUCGGCUCAGGCACUGUUUAAUGUUGAUAUCAGUCAAGUCGCUCCUUAAGGUAUGUGAGUCAGCUGUCUUGGCCUUAAAUCUUCUGGCUCUAUUCAUCUUACAAUUUGACCACCACGAUCGCAGAC
rnacentral:lncRNA from 1 species